CUGAGAAUGCUCUUCGGAGCCCUCAAACCACUGCGUACCAAAUCCUGUGCUUGCGGGUGGCAGCGUCUUCGGACGAGGCGCCCGCGAGAUCAAACACGUUUGACUGUCGUCUGGUUACAUUUUAAAAGAAAA
rnacentral:misc_RNA from 1 species